UUCCAUCCAGUCCAGCAAAGCUGGAGGAAGGGUGGACAGUGAGCUGAACACAAGCCAGCACAGGACACCUUUAGCAAAGCAGUCCAAGGGUGUGAUGGGCUGCAUAAGCAAGGGUCUUGGCAGUAAGGCUUGAAAGAUUGCUUGGAGGUGAAUCUGCUGAGGGAUGCCAACAAGGACUUCUCUAAAUGUCUAAGUGGCAAAGACCAGGGAAAGGAUGAGUCCAUUGCUGAAUAGGGCAGGAGAUAUGUUGCCUUGGCUCCAGUGAUAAGGCAGAGGUGAAAACUCACCUGCAAAGCCACAAGAAGGUACCAAAACCUCCCGCACAGCAGGCUUUCCCUCUUUGGGGCAUCUACUUUCCUAGCUGGGUAACAAACAGUAAACAGUUCCUUGGAACACGGGUGUCACUGUGACAUCACCCCAACCUCGCUGCUUUUCAGAGGCCACAAGCUCUGUCCCCUGACUCUCUGUCCAGGACUCCUGCAGGCACACACUCAAGGACCAGGUGAGGGGCACUGAGCAAGCCCUAGAGGAGAGACUCUGGUACAAGGGGCAGCAUGAGCCAGCCACCACCAGCAGGGCCAUCAGAAAUGGCAGCGGCAGAUGGCCUAUGCCCCAUCUGCCUGGGUGACCUUGAAAAUGCUACCUAUGUGGAGGUCUGUCGGCAUCGCUUUUGCUUCAUCUGUAUCUGGGAAUGGGCCAAACUGACAGAGACCUGCCCACUGUGCAAGCACCCUUUCAAGCGACUGCUGUGCGCUGUGACAGUGGACAACCACGAGGAGCAUGCGGCUGGCUGGUCUGCCGGCCUCCAAGGGAAGGCAGCCAGGAUCCAGAGCAGAUCCCCACAGUGGCACUCUACAACCUGAGUCACAGGCAUGCUGACACUCAGCCCUCCACGGGGAGAAGGGAGACUGUGGGGACAGAGUGAGUGCAGAUGGACCCAGCAGCUGUGGGGUCCUCUGAUGCCACUUCUCAGCAGGCGGCUGCAGCCAGCACUUCUCAUGAGGGAACACCACUGAGCACAAGGAAGCACCUGGCCAGCCCUGCUGCCACACCAAACUGCAGGUGCACCAGCAGGGCUGCUGCAGCUCCUGCAACCGUCUGAUCUCUUUCACUUGCAAUAAACAGCCAGGCGCUUUCAAUUUUGGGAUGUGUAUCAUGAUUUCAAUCAUUUUUAAUUGCUGCAACAGAAGAUGUUUCCCCUCCUGCUUUCCCUGCUUUCCACUUCCAAGCACCAGGGCAGGGGUGUCCAAAUUCUAUGCCCAGCAGCUGCUCCUGCUGGUGCUUCUGUAUCCAAAUGUUCCCAGCCAUUCUUUAGGCCCUACUCUCAGUGUAGCAGAGUGUGGCUACAAUGACUGAUAGUACCCAGGGAGGCCACAAGCGACAGCAGGGGAAACAGACAAGACUACUCUCCGUUGUUUAGCACAGGAAUCCAUUUUAAUUCCCCCCAACACCCCGUGCUGGCGGCAGGGGGCAGGAGGCAGAGGCCUGGGGGCCCAAGCAGAGCCCCAGAGAGCCGAGAGCAGACAGAGGGCGGACAGAGACCUGCGGCUGGGAUUUUAACAGGAGUCCCAUGGGAGGAGUCUUAAACUCAGAUUAAAGCCUCCUCAGAAGAUGAAGGCUCCACAUCUCAGUCCAUCUCAGACAGCAGCAGCUGAAACUCCCCCCACCUGAGUCCCCAUGGCUGUGGCUGGCAGGCGGGAGGGGACUGGUUGUGUUCUUCUGGCUAAAUGCUCUCUGGGAAUGCGAGUUCAGAAGCGGUAUUAAAAUGUCUGUAUUGAAGGGAACCUGGAUGGCCUAUUUCCAGAAAGAAGUCAGGGGAAAAUCCACAUGAAGUAGUUUUGGCUACUUUCUUCACCAUGGAAAUUCACACAUAGACACAGAAGUGCCCUGAACAACAAGGGUCUGCCAGAAAGU